CGCGCCACGACAGCCGCCCUGGAUCCAGCCACUUGCUUAUCAACGCUACUAUCCAUUACAUACUUAAUGCUUUUAAUUUUUCUUUUAAUGCUUUUCACGUAAUGGACAAUUGUUUAGUAUCUACUUAGAAAAGUAUGGCUUGGAAAACUCACUAGUUAAACUAAAAGUGUUAAAACUGGUUCUCAGACGCGGAGACUUCGUAAUAGCAGCCUAAUAUUAGUUGAAACCGAUUUGAACCGUCUCCGAAAUAGGGCGAGCCAUUAUAGAUAAAGAGAGCUCGACGACGUCGUAAAUAACACAUAAUAUUGUAAUUAAAUUUUCUAACACAAUAAAGAAAAGUUCGUCAGGAACAGUUAAACUAAUGAAACAUUUGGAUAGCAGGUGCGUGGGGUUAGUGGACCGGAAGGCGCGCAAUAAAUCCCCCUAAGCCACUUCCGGAGCGGGCCGGGCUCGGCCGGGUUCACUCGGCGUUCGUGCUUGCCUGUGCGACUCGCGAUGACCACAGGCUGCCCUCUGACACAUUCCCGUACUCUCAUAAACUUAACUUUAUUUGGUGCACCGAGAAUGAUAGUGGGCUGACAUUUAUAUGACCAUUUUACACUAGAGAUACUAAGCUUCUUCAAUUUGCUAAGAUAGGGAAAGGGGUAAAUUCGUUAAAUCUUUUACAUAGUGAUAUAAGCUAUUGCCGCAAACAUCCAGACUGUUACAAAUGUGAAAUGCUAACUUUCGAAAUAAAAAUUGAUCGUGAACGUGUAGAAACUUUGAUUAAUAACAAUAAAACAGCUAUUGUAUAGAAAGUGCAGUGGUCUGGUCCAGCAGCAGCUGGUAAUUACCAACGGUACGCGUUUAUUGUCAGUGUUUCGAUUAAAAUAUCUGACUUAGACAAAGGGGGUUUUAAAUAUUAACAAUUGCACUCACGGUAAAUUACAUGUGACCGGCCAUUAGGCAUGCAAACUUAAUGUAUCUACCUGCACGCGACCUCCUUGCUGUCAAACAAACUAUUUGUUUUGUUUUGUCUAGAUUUAAAAUGCAAAUACGCAAGUAAAAUAUCGUGUUUUAAUCAAACUAAACUACUAUAAAAUAUUUCACGUCGACAAGUAACUACGUUUCCUGUCCCAAAGCUUCACGAAUCGAUAAGAAAGCAUAAAUUCGUUAAAAAAUACUUUUCAAAAUGUAUGGAAACGGUAACAAUUUAUUUGCGCAAACCUGUUGUGAGCGAUAUCGAGAGUUGUUCUUUUCUCUUUAAUACAUUCAAAAAGCAAGGAACAUGCAGAUGUGAGCUCGUUACGUUUUCUUGGUGCGGCGAGUGUCGCCGGCGCGCGGCGGAUGCACGCAUGGCGGCGCAACACCCUCGCGCCCACACACUUGACACAGGCGCAGCGGGUGUUUAUGUGGCGACCGUUACCUCAUCGAGUACGAAACAGGAGGAAGUCGCGACCCGGCCACGAACAAUACUCCACCGAGACUGAUCGGACGACUGCCUACUGCCUCGGACCAUGAACCAAGUAGCCUUAUGUUGUCAUUUUGAUUGCAGGUUUGUAUUUGGUGCACAACUGUGUGACAAACUGUGUGACAACUGAUCUCCAGAAAUAAGAAACACUCUUUAAUCUGCUAAUUAAACAGCCGAUAUAGUUGUACGUCCUAAAGCUUGGUACAAGUCUGAAGUCUCUUCCCGCAUAGGAAAGGUUUUGAGGAUUCAUAAUCACGCUAGCUAGCUCACGGGUUAACUAUUUCAGAUUCCAAGAUUUGGAAUCUAGGUUUCCUCACUAAGUAUGUUUUUCAACACCGUUCGUCAGUGGUGCCUUCGAGUAAUAUACAUGAAACUGUCUGACCUUUUGGUCUAGAGACCCUGACUACAUUACCAGAGGUCGUGGAUUCGAUUCCUGCCCAGGACAAAUGAUUGUGUGUUAGUGUAGUUUAUCUGGAAUUUGUAUGUGUUGAAAAAUAUUUAAGUAUGUUCAUCAGUAGUCUAGUACUCAUAACAUGAGCUUUGCUUAGUU